GAUGAACGCUGGCGGUGUGCUUAAGACAUGCAAGUCGAACGAAGCCUUCGGGCUUAGUGGCGGACGGGUGAGUAACACGUUAGUACCUGCCCUAAAGUGGGGAAUAACUCGGCGAAAGUCGAGCUAAUACCGCAUGUGACCGUUUACGGUUAAAGCCUUCGGGCGCUUUAGGAGGGGCUUGCGCUAGAUUAGCUUGUUGGUAGGGUAAUGGCCUACCAAGGCGACGAUCUAUAGCUGGUUCGAGAGGAUGACCAGCCACACGUGGACUGAGAUACGGCCACGACUCCUACGGGAGGCAGCAGUCAGGAAUAUUCCACAAUGGGCGAAAGCCUGAUGGAGCAACACCGCGUGCAGGAUGACGGCCUUCGGGUUGUAAACUGCUUUUAUAUGGGAAGAUUAUGACGGUACCAUAUGAAUAAGGACCGGCUAACUACGUGCCAGCCGCCGCCGUAACAC
rnacentral:rRNA from 1 species